CCUACGGGAGGCAGCAGUGAGGAAUAUUGGACAAUGGGCGCAAGCCUGAUCCAGCCAUGCCGCGUGCAGGAUGACGGUCCUAUGGAUUGUAAACUGCUUUUAUACGAGAAGAAACACUCCGACGUGUCGGAGCUUGACGGUAUCGUAAGAAUAAGGAUCGGCUAACUCCGUGCCAGCAGCCGCGGUAAUACGGAGGAUCCAAGCGUUAUCCGGAAUCAUUGGGUUUAAAGGGUCCGUAGGCGGUUUAAUAAGUCAGUGGUGAAAGCCCAUCGCUCAACGGUGGAACGGCCAUUGAUACUGUUAAACUUGAAUUAUUAGGAAGUAACUAGAAUAUGUAGUGUAGCGGUGAAAUGCUUAGAGAUUACAUGGAAUACCAAUUGCGAAGGCAGGUUACUACUAAUUGAUUGGCGCUGAUGGACGAAAGCGUGGGUAGCGAACAGGAUUAGAUACCCUGGUAGUCCACGCCGUAAACGAUGGAUACUAGCUGUUGGGAGCAAUCUCAGUGGCUAAGCGAAAGUGAUAAGUAUCCCACCUGGGGAUACGUUCGCAAGAAGAGAAAGACGAAAGAAGUUAGACGGACGUGAGACGUAGACCGACGGACGACGACGAGGGGAGGGAGGGAG
rnacentral:rRNA from 1 species